rnacentral:rRNA from 1 species
AACGAACGCUGGCGGCAGGCUUAACACAUGCAAGUCGAACGAUGCCUUCGGGCAUAGUGGCGCACGGGUGCGUAACGCGUGGGAAUAUGCCCUUGACUACGGAACAACGUCGGGAAACUGACGCUAAUACCGUAUAAUGUCUUCGGACCAAAGAUUUAUCGGUCAAGGAUUAGCCCGCGUCUGAUUAGCUAGUUGGUGAGGUAACGGCUCACCAAGGCGACGAUCAGUAGCUGGUCUGAGAGGAUGAUCAGCCACACUGGGACUGAGACACGGCCCAGACUCCUACGGGAGGCAGCAGUGAGGAAUAUUGGACAAUGGAGGCAACUCUGAUCCAGCCAUGCCGCGUGAGUGACGAAGGCCUUCGGGUUGUAAAGCUCUUUCAGAUGCGAAGAUAAUGACGGUAACAUCAGAAGAAGCCCCGGCUAAAUUCGUGCCAGCCGCCGCAGUAA